rnacentral:rRNA from 1 species
AAAUUGAAGAGUUUGAUCAUGGCUCAGAUUGAACGCUGGCGGCAGGCCUAACACAUGCAAGUCGAACGGUAACAGAAAGCAGCUUGCUGCUUUGCUGACGAGUGGCGGACGGGUGAGUAAUGUCUGGGAAACUGCCCGAUGGAGGGGGAUAACUACUGGAAACGGUAGCUAAUACCGCAUAACGUCGCAAGACCAAAGAGGGGGACCUUAGGGCCUCUUGCCAUCGGAUGUGCC